GCUUGCUUCUCUUGAGAGCGGCGGACGGGUGAGUAAUGCCUAGGAAUCUGCCUGGUAGUGAGGGAUAACGUUCGGAAACGGACGCUAAUACCGCAUACGUCCUACGGGAGAAAGCAGGGGACCUUCGGGCCUUGCGCUAUCAGAUGAGCCUAGGUCGGAUUAGCUAGUUGGUGAGGUAAUGGCUCACCAAGGCGACGAUCCGUAACUGGUCUGAGAGGAUGAUCAGUCACACUGGAACUGAGACACGGUCCAGACUCCUACGGGAGGCAGCAGUGGGGAAUAUUGGACAAUGGGCGAAAGCCUGAUCCAGCCAUGCCGCGUGUGUGAAGAAGGUCUUCGGAUUGUAAAGCACUUUAAGUUGGGAGGAAGGGCAGUUACCUAAUACGUGAUUGUUUUGACGUUACCGACAGAAUAAGCACCGGCUAACUCUGUGCCAGCAGCCGCGGUAAUACAGAGGGUGCAAGCGUUAAUCGGAAUUACUGGGCGUAAAGCGCGCGUAGGUGGUUUGUUAAGUUGGAUGUGAAAUCCCCGGGCUCAACCUGGGAACUGCA
rnacentral:rRNA from 1 species